CUACGGGUGGCAGCAGUGGGGAAUAUUGGGCAAUGGGCGAAAGCCUGACCCAGCAACGCCGCGUGAAGGAAGAAGGUUUUCGGAUCGUAAACUUCUAUCCCAGGUGAAGAUAAUGACGGUAGCCUGGAAGGAAGCCCCGGCUAACUACGUGCCAGCAGCCGCGGUAAUACGUAGGGGGCAAGCGUUGUCCGGAAUGAUUGGGCGUAAAGGGCGCGUAGGCGGCCUUCUAAGUCCGAUGUGAAAGUCCUGCUUUUAAGGUGGGAAUUGCAUUGGAAACUGGAGGGCUUGAGUGCAGGAGAGGUAAGUGGAAUUCCCGGUGUAGCGGUGAUAUGCGUAGAGAUCGGGAGGAACACCAGUGGCGAAGGCGACUUACUGGACUGUAACUGACGCUGAGGCGCGAAAGUGUGGGGAGCAAACAGGAUUAGAUACCCUGGUAGUC
rnacentral:rRNA from 1 species